rnacentral:lncRNA from 1 species
GGGUCCUUAUGGGUUAGGCCCUAUUUCUUAGUUGCCGAGGUCUUCGAUCCAGAUGACUUGGAGUUCAUUGGUUUCGCUCGACUUGUCCAUGGGCAAGGAGUGCCAUUGGACCAUUGUCGUCGUGGCCUUCGCUCGACUUGUCCGUAGGCAAGGAGCGCCAUUGGGCCAUUGUCAUCGUGGCCUCCAUUCGACUUGUCCAUAGGCAAGGAGCAUCAUUGGGCUGUUAUCGUUGUGGUAUCCGCUCAAUUUAUCCGUAGACAAGGAGCACCAUUAGGCCGUUGUCAUCGUGGCCU